rnacentral:rRNA from 1 species
UACGAAGGGAGCUAGCGUUGUUCGGAAUUACUGGGCGUAAAGCGCAUGCAGGCGGAUCGUUAAGUCGGGGGUGAAAUCCCGAGGCUCAACCUCGGAACUGCCUUCGAUACUGGCGAUCUUGAGUCCGGGAGAGGUGAGUGGAACUGCGAGUGUAGAGGUGAAAUUCGUAGAUAUUCGCAAGAACACCAGUGGCGAAGGCGGCUCACUGGCCCGGGUACUGACGCUGAGAAUGCGAAAGCGUGGGGAGCAAACAGG